rnacentral:rRNA from 1 species
GUAGGGAAUAUUGGACAAUGGGGGGAACCCUGAUCCAGCCAUGCCGCGUGGAGGAAGACUGCCCUCUGGGUUGUAAACUCCUUUUAUAUGGGAAGAACCGUCCUCAUUAAUGAGUGACCUGACGGUACCAUAGGAAUAAGCACCGGCUAACUCCGUGCCAGCAGCCGCGGUAAUACGGAGGGUGCAAGCGUUAUCCGGAUUCACUGGGUUUAAAGGGUGCGUAGGCGGAUAAAUAAGUCAGUGGUGAAAUCAACGGGCUCAACCUGUUAAAUGCCAUUGAUACUGUGUAUCUUGAAUAUGAGAGAGGUAGGCGGAAUGUUGCAUGUAGCGGUGAAAUGCUUAGAUAUGCUUCGGAACACCGAUUGCGAAGGCAGCUUACUAUUUCGUAAUUGACGCUGAGGCACGAAAGCGUGGGUAGCGAACAGGAUUAGAUACCCGAGUAGUCC